GUGCGCAGCGCCGGCUUCUUCCCAGCGCGAGUUGCUGCUAACGCUCCUCCUCCAGCUUCCCACCCCCGCCGCCCGCCGCGGCCCGGUACCAACGGGUGGUCUCGCCGAGGGAGCUGUCGUGCCUCGUGGUCCCGGGACUGCAGUGGUGUGCGCUCUCGGCGCGUGGCGCUAGGCAUGGCGAUGGAUCAAGUAAACGCGCUGUGCGAGCAGCUGGUGAAAGCGGUGACGGUCAUGAUGGACCCCAACUCCACCCAGCGCUACCGGCUGGAAGCCCUCAAGUUUUGUGAGGAGUUUAAAGAAAAGUGUCCUAUCUGUGUCCCCUGUGGCUUGAGGUUGGCUGAGAAAACACAAGUUGCCAUCGUCAGACAUUUUGGCCUUCAGAUCCUGGAACACGUUGUCAAGUUUCGGUGGAACGGCAUGUCUCGAUUGGAGAAGGUGUAUCUGAAGAACAGUGUCAUGGAGCUGAUUGCAAAUGGAACAUUGAACAUUUUGGAAGAGGAGAACCAUAUUAAAGAUGCUCUGUCUCGAAUUGUAGUGGAAAUGAUCAAGCGAGAGUGGCCACAGCAUUGGCCUGACAUGCUAAUAGAAUUGGACACUCUUUCCAAACAAGGGGAAACACAGACAGAAUUGGUGAUGUUUAUCCUUUUGCGACUGGCAGAGGAUGUAGUGACUUUUCAGACACUUCCCCCUCAAAGAAGAAGGGACAUCCAGCAAACAUUAACCCAGAACAUGGAAAGGAUCUUCAGUUUUCUGCUUAACACACUUCAAGAAAAUGUAAACAAGUAUCAGCAAGUGAAGACAGAUACUUCUCAGGAGUCAAAGGCGCAAGCAAACUGUCGAGUAGGAGUUGCAGCACUGAAUACUCUAGCAGGCUAUAUUGACUGGGUGUCUAUGAGUCACAUCACUGCUGAAAACUGUAAACUCCUGGAGAUACUGUGUUUGCUGUUGAAUGAACAGGAACUUCAGUUGGGAGCCGCUGAGUGUCUUCUCAUUGCAGUCAGCAGAAAAGGCAAGUUGGAAGACCGGAAGCCCUUGAUGGUCUUAUUUGGAGAUGUUGCCAUGCAUUAUAUACUCUCCGCCGCACAGACUGCUGAUGGAGGAGGUUUGGUAGAAAAACACUACGUCUUUCUGAAGAGGCUCUGUCAGGUGUUGUGUGCGCUGGGCAAUCAGCUGUGUGCAUUGCUGGGUGCAGAUUCUGAUGUAGAAACACCAUCAAACUUUGGAAAAUACCUGGAAUCUUUUCUUGCUUUCACAACCCAUCCAAGUCAGUUUCUACGCUCUUCAACUCAGAUGACUUGGGGAGCCCUCUUCAGGCAUGAAAUCCUGUCCCGUGAUCCUUUGCUAUUAGCAAUAAUACCAAAAUAUCUUCGUGCUUCCAUGACUAACUUGGUCAAGAUGGGCUUUCCUUCUAAAACAGACAGCCCUAGCUGUGAAUAUUCUCGGUUUGAUUUUGAUAGCGAUGAGGACUUCAAUGCUUUCUUCAACUCCUCCCGAGCACAACAAGGAGAGGUGAUGAGGUUGGCAUGUCGUUUGGAUCCCAAAACUAGCUUCCAGAUGGCUGGGGAGUGGCUAAAGUAUCAACUAUCAACUUUUCUUGAUGCUGGUUCUGUGAAUUCUUGUUCUGCAGUUGGAACUGGAGAAGGAAGCCUCUGUUCCGUCUUCUCACCUUCAUUCGUGCAGUGGGAAGCCAUGACUCUUUUUUUGGAAAGUGUUAUCACCCAGAUGUUUCGAACACUAAAUAGAGAAGAAAUUCCUGUUAAUGAUGGAAUAGAGCUAUUGCAGAUGGUUCUGAACUUUGAUACCAAGGAUCCCCUCAUCCUGUCCUGCGUCCUUACUAAUGUCUCUGCACUCUUUCCAUUUGUCACCUACAGACCAGAGUUCCUGCCCCAGGUCUUCUCUAAGCUAUUUUCAUCUGUCACUUUUGAAACUGUUGAAGAAAGUAAGGCCCCCAGAACCCGGGCAGUGAGGAAUGUGAGGAGGCAUGCUUGUUCCUCCAUCAUCAAGAUGUGUCGUGACUACCCCCAGCUUGUGCUGCCCAAUUUUGACAUGCUUUAUAACCAUGUGAAGCAACUCCUCUCCAAUGAGCUACUCCUGACACAAAUGGAGAAGUGUGCCCUCAUGGAAGCCCUGGUUCUCAUUAGCAACCAAUUUAAGAACUACGAGCGUCAGAAGGUGUUCCUAGAGGAGCUGAUGGCACCAGUGGCCAGCAUCUGGCUUUCUCAAGACAUGCACAGAGUGCUGUCAGAUGUUGAUGCUUUCAUUGCGUAUGUGGGUACAGAUCAGAAGAGCUGUGACCCAGGCCUGGAGGAUCCGUGUGGCUUAAACCGUGCACGAUCUUGAAUUCUUGAGUUAGUUCCCACAGCAGAGCAGAUGGUCUUUUCUAUGAAGUCAUUAUUUUGGCUUUAAGGAUCUCUAAAUAGCUCUGAAGACUGAAGGUGUAAUGAGGAAGUAGGUCAGAACUUGGUCAGCAGGAUGAGCUUUUGUGUAUACAGCAUUCUGGGUGUGGUGAAACGAACUUGCUGGCCCACUGACCUAGAAGAGGCCAAAGCUGGGGGAUUUGUGGUGGGUUAUACAUCCAGUGGAAAUCCAAUCUUCCGUAACCCCUGCACAGAGCAGAUUCUGAAACUUCUUGACAAUUUGCUUGCGCUUAUAAGAACCCACAAUACAUUAUAUGCACCAGAAAUGCUAGCCAAAAUGGCAGAGCCUUUCACCAAGGCUCUGGAUAUGCUUGACGCGGAAAAAUCUGCUAUAUUAGGAUUACCUCAACCUCUCUUGGAACUCAAUGACUCUCCUGUCUUCAAAACCGUCUUGGAAAGAAUGCAGCGUUUCUUCUCUACCCUCUAUGAAAACUGUUUUCAUAUCCUAGGGAAGGCAGGCCCUUCCAUGCAGCAAGACUUCUAUACUGUGGAGGACCUUGCUACCCAGCUUCUCAGCUCAGCCUUUGUCAACUUGAACAAUAUUCCUGACUACCGACUCAGACCCAUGCUUCGUGUCUUUGUAAAGCCUCUGGUGCUCUUCUGUCCCCCAGAGCACUAUGAAGCCCUGGUAUCCCCCAUCCUCGGACCUCUUUUCACCUACCUCCAUAUGAGGCUUUCUCAGAAAUGGCAAGUUAUCAACCAAAGGAGCCUGCUGUGUGGAGAAGAUGAGGCUGCAGAUGAAAACCCAGAGUCUCAAGAGAUGCUGGAGGAGCAACUGGUGAGGAUGUUAACCCGAGAAGUCAUGGACCUAAUCACGGUUUGCUGUGUUUCAAAGAAGGGUGCUGACCACAGUAGUGCUCCCCCAGCAGAUGGAGACGAUGAAGAAAUGAUGGCCACAGAGGUCACCCCCUCAGCUAUGGCAGAGCUUACAGACCUGGGCAAAUGUCUGAUGAAGCAUGAGGAUGUUUGUACAGCGCUAUUAAUUACAGCCUUCAAUUCCCUGGCCUGGAAAGAUACUCUGUCCUGCCAGAGGACAACCUCACAGCUCUGCUGGCCUCUCCUCAAACAAGUGCUGUCAGGGACACUGCUCGCAGAUGCAGUUACGUGGCUUUUCACCAGUGUGCUGAAAGGCUUACAGAUGCACGGGCAGCACGACGGGUGCAUGGCUUCCCUGGUCCAUCUGGCCUUCCAGAUAUACGAGGCACUGCGCCCCAGGUACCUGGAGAUAAGAGCUGUAAUGGAGCAAAUCCCUGAAAUACAGAAGGACUCACUGGACCAGUUUGACUGCAAGCUUUUAAACCCCUCCCUGCAGAAAGUGGCUGACAAGCGCCGAAAGGACCAAUUCAAACGCCUCAUUGCUGGUUGCAUUGGGAAACCCUUGGGAGAGCAGUUCCGAAAAGAAGUUCACAUUAAGAAUCUUCCCUCACUUUUCAAAAAAACAAAGCCAAUGCUGGAGACGGAGGUGCUGGACAAUGAUGGGGGUGGCCUGGCCACCAUCUUUGAACCCUGAAUCAAGCUUUUGGGCAUCCUUCCUCGGCCUUUCUUGUCAUCUCUUCUUUCCCUUUGUAGCCGAUCUCUAGGCCCUUCUUGCACUGCCACCUCACUUUCCACCACUGUCAGCCUGGAAAGAGAUCCAGGUCUGGAGCUGGAGAGAACAGGCCCUGUGCAGGACCAGAAGUAAUUAUACUAAAGUAUCAAGAAAGGGAGUUAGGGCUUAAACUAUUCUGUCUAGAUGUCCCAGAUAGUUCCCAUUCUACUUGGAGAUUUGGCUUUUCCAAGAAAAGCUAGAGCAGAGCAGCCCUUCUCCCACAAGCCCUCCCACCCCCGUGCAGCCACAUACCUGUACAGAAUGGUAACUAAGGGUGCUGUGCCCAACCCUGCGACUAGCAAGGCUCGCAGCAAGAGCACAGCCCUCAACUACUUGUGCCAGAGUUUCUCUUGGACCACUCCAACUCCCACUGAGCCCUUUUGCUGCUGGGCUGGCAGGAAACUUUCCCCACUCCCUAAGGGGCAUGUCUGGGUUAGGUGCUAAGUGCUGAAGAGAACUUGGUCAGUUCUCUCAACUUUGCUUUGGGCAAGAAUCUGGUCACCUGAUGGGAUCCAUGGUACAGGCUACUGCUAAACUUGGCACAGUAUCAAGUAUAGUACCUCCAAGGACCAGGGCUGGGAAGUCUUUAGUGCUAACAUCCCCUUUAGAGUUCACACAUCUUGCCCUUCCAUGAAUGACCCCUCAGUCUGGCCUCCCCAGCCUCAAGGUCCACUCAGGCACAAGAGCCACAGUACCCUAGAUAGUGUCACAUGACACCGUUGUCAUCCAAGGAUAAUACAGACCAACUAGGCUACAUCUGUGAUGAGCAGCUAGCAAAGCCGCUGGUCUUCUCCUAGGACUAAGUCCAGGUGCCUUCCACAAUCUCAUGGUCUUUCAGGUCCCUGGUUACUUUUCUCAAAGGCCAUUUCCAAAAGAAUACAUGCCUUCACAUCACAACCUGUACUGUGAGUCCAUUCUAGAGGUCACUGAAAGGCCCUGUAAAGAGAGGACAUGGAUACGGGACCUGGCCCUGAGGUUAUUACUGGCCGUAAGGCAGAGUUAAUCCAUACAGAAACCAGUGUGUCCAUGUGCUCUGCACAAAAACAGACCUGUUGUCCAUCCAGUCCACUGACAAGAGGGUUUCCCCGAGAGCCGAAGUGGACUGAAGCUACAGUUUUUAGCUGGUGCGGGCCACAGGCAGGGUCAGAUUGAGAAGAAGCAAAGCUGGGGAAGCAGAAGUUGGGAGUCUUGUGUUGCUCCCUCUUCCUGUGUGGUGCUCUGGGUUUCUGUGGAUCGUGAAGGCGAUCUCAAGAGUGUUUCCCUCCAAACCUGAUAGCUGCCUAUUCCUGUCUGGUUGGGGCUGUGGAGGAUGUAGUUGUAUUUAUUGCAUUGUAAUAUUUUUAACAUCCUGUGACUUCAUGCUAGAAAUUUUCUAUUGUUUAUAGAAACUUUUUGUAGAAACAUUAACUCUAAAGCACAUCUGCAUGUCAGUAAAAAUCUCAGUUUCGUACAGAAA